rnacentral:rRNA from 1 species
AUCAUAAUUUUCUGUGAUGCAUUUGCUUGUUUGGUGCUUGGGGAUGUUUGAGGCAGAUUUGUAACCGCCGUUUUGAGGCCAGCUUGCUGGUACCCAAACAGCGUUAGCAUCUUUUGUCUUGGACAUUUGAGUAUGGCUUACGGGCAUUUAUUGGUUCGAUCUGAUUGUAAGUUACGGUCGCAUGCGACACGUGCUUUUCAUUUAGAUCGGUCCAGUUAAUGCUCUCGUACUCGCUCCCCAUGUAAAAGCCGGUCAUCUAUCCGACCCGUCUUGAAACACGGACCAAGGAGUUUAUCGUGUGCGCAAGUUUUUGGGUGUUAAAAACCUAAAAGCGAAAUGAAAGUAAAUGGCUCUUUAGAGUCUGAUGUGAGAUCUUGUAAAAAAGGGCAGCAUGGCCCCAUUCUAACUGUUUACAGUAGGGUGGAGGAAGAGCGUACGCGGUGAGACCCGAAAGAUGGUGAACUAUUCCUGAGCAGGACGAAGCCAGAGGAAACUCUGGUGGAAGUCCGAAGCGGUUCUGACGUGCAAAUCGAUCGUCUGACUUGGGUAUAGGGGCGAAAGACUAAUCGAACCAUCUAGUAGCUG